rnacentral:rRNA from 1 species
UACGAAGGGAGCUAGCGUUGUUCGGAAUCACUGGGCGUAAAGCGCACGUAGGCGGAUGUGUCAGUCAGGGGUGAAAUCCCGGAGCUCAACUUCGGAACUGCCUUUGAUACAGCACAUCUGGAGUCCGGAAGAGGUGGGUGGAAUUCCUAGUGUAGAGGUGAAAUUCGUAGAUAUUCGGAAGAACACCAGUGGCGAAGGCGGCUCACUGGACUGGUAUUGACGCUGAGGUGCGAAAGCGUGGGGAGCAAACAGG